AUGUUUGCAUGUGUCCUGUGUGACGGUGGUACUGGUGAGUAUGAUCUAGCCGAGUGGGCAUUUGAAAUCAUCAGAUCGGCUGUAAAGAAAUUGCACAAGGAUUUGGAUGCUGGGGUGAGAACACUAAUAGUAGGCGGUAGUCAUUUGGCACUCAUUGUGUGGUUCUUCGAUUGGAUUGACUUUGGACCAAAUAAUGUCGAGCCGCACACUGUCCCCCGCGUCAGUGUUUACACGGGACAGAUCUGCAGGAGGCUAAUCUACCUGAUAAGGGAGUACCCAAAUAUAUUCACUACAAAGCCUUAUGAUGCGUUCAACCCGCUUGAUGAUGUUUGGCACAGUGUAGUCGGAGAGCCUGGUGGAUUCCUACAACAGCCAGAACAAUUAGGUGCACUCCAAUCAGCUCUGGAACUCAUUUCUGCCAGCCAGCAAAAUGGCAUGGUGUCUGACCAUGUGCAAAGGGGAGAUGGGCUAGCAUAUGACUCCAGACGAUUUGCUGCCGUCCAGCAGGAGGGCUUGCCGUCUGGCCAAGGGCAACUAGGACAGAAGGCAGCAUAUGAGUACCGAAGCGAUGCUAAUCAUAGCAAGCUAUGCGCUGCAAAGGGGAAGUGGGCAGCGGAUGAUAGCUCAGACUCAUCGAGCAGCGACAGUGACGACGAACCGGUCAACCCAAGUGUUCGUCUUGCUAAGAGAUUGGAACAAGCUGAUAGGAGAGGUGAACCCAUAGAACCACAGGAUGCCCGCGGGGACAUAAGGAUUAAUGAUGUUGUGUGUAGUGCCCGUGUGACAGGGCCACGUAGCAUGAACCGGCUCAGGAGAAGGCUGCAGCCCAGGGGGGGUGCUGGUGAGGCUCAAUCAAGCACUGCACAUGCGAUUGUUACAAACAAUGCGAUGGUGCAUGUGAGAGGCGACUACCUCAGGGCAGAACUCUAUCAAAUAGAGGCCCAGGCAAAAGCAGACCUUGAACACGCACAAAUCCAUGGAAUUCUCCCGUGCAGAGGAGGAGCAUCGGGUACUGAUGCAGGUGCUGUCGACGGGGAGAGGCGUGAGCGUGUACGGAGCUUAUCUGCAGCUGCUCUGGCUGUGGUUGAGCAAGCUAUGGAGAAUCCAGAACUUUUUGAAGGUAUAUUUGAUCAAGCUAGGCAGGUGCUAACAACCCUCGGGGUGCAAGGUUACAACACAGAUAAUGUAACGGGGGAUCAUGACAAUGUAAACAAGCCCUCCAAAGAAAGUGCCGAAGAAGUUACAAAUCUGGGAGAGCCGGCAAGAGACAGCCAACUGGAAGGAGGCGAUGCAAAUGUUGGUGGCGAAAAUUGGAGCAGGAUGCUGAAUACAAGCCAGCAAGUGGCAACGAGCCUUCCUACAAUAAACAACAAUGCUGACGGGUUGCCUAGCGGGGAUAUGGAUGCUGUGCUUGGAGCAGAGGUCCUGGGUGAUGGGUUCUUGGGCGUUGGAUCUAUGGUCCGCACUGAAUAUUCGGGAGAAGACGACGACUCAACGGACUUGGAUGAUGAAUUUCUUGCAGUGGCAUCUCAAGUGCCGAUUGAUUACAUGGAUGUAACUGUACAAGCCCAUGAUGAAACAACCUUGGUGGGAGUGGAUAAUUUGAUUGGUUUACUAGCUGCAUUGAACACAUGCAUCUGCUGGAUCGCGUGGAUUGGAGCCUUAAUGGUUGUCAGGAGCGGAAGGGAAGAAGAUACAGGCGAUGAAGACCCACCAUUGAGCGGCACUAUCUUGCUGGGUUGGCAUGGUGUGCCAGGCGUUGACGAUGCUAGUCCAAUUAGAAGACAACAACAUUCCAGACGACAGCAGACAUCCAGUCGAUGUCCAUUGGAUGUUCAGGAAUCAUGCCGUCCUGGGCCUUGUUUCAAUCAUGACAACAGAGAUGAAGAUGAUGAUGAAGCCCGUGGACAUGGAUUGCCAUCUGAGGAUUGUGGAUCAGCCAACCGUUUCCAACAAGCAAUUAUCACCUAUCUUCAUAACUGCAGCUCUAUAAAACGUGGGAGAUCUCAGAGUGGUGGGACUCGAAACGUGCUCGACGUAAACGAUCUGGGUGCAUCACAACCCAUUGCAGCACAAGACCUGGCCAGAAAUGCAGCUGCUGAUACGGUGACAGAGAUUGAUGGCAAUCAGAAGAAAAACCGCACAGUUGUGCUGGAUGUGCAAACAAACUGUCGCCCUGGACCUUUUUUCAGGCAUGAUGAUACAGAUGGCGCCGAUGGACAAGCUCGUGCACAGGGGUUUCCGUCUGCCGUUUCAAUGACUCCAUUCCAGCAAGCGGUCCUCGGUUAUCUGAAAAAAUGUGGGAUUAGAUACAGUGUGACAAAAGGGGGUAAGAAGCAGGAUUGCACACAUGAGCCUGAGUUUCAAAGUGUUCAUAACACAAAAAGAAAGGACUGGGGUGAACGCUACCCACCAUCAGUUGGAUUGAACCAUGCCCAGCCUACUCCUGAAGCGAUUUCAAGGUUCAAUACCAACUUGCUAGCAUGUGAGGGUGUGAUUCUGAAGAAGAAAUGGGUAAAACACUAUCAUCCAAUACUGGCGGUGCUGUCUGGGCAAGACAUCAAGGAUGAAUUGACGCCGGGGUGUGAGAUGACAAUGAAUACAUGGAGGUGUGUUCAACGCAUGCUGUGGGAGAAGGAUAAUGGAAUUUACAAAGGGUGGCUAGACAGAUUCAGAGGGGUCUUCGACCCAAAAUUUGUUGAAGAGGUUUGCCGAGAUGACGGGGAAACUGACUGGGAUUACAUCGACACUAUGAUGAACUCAGAAGUGAAUGGAUAUAGAAUUGAUUGGCUUAAAAAGUUCUGGUUCCCAGUUGAUUUUAUGGACUGCUGGUCAAUGUACCUUCUGGACAAGGAUGAAAAAACUGUGAUGGUGCUUGACCCAACAGAGACCGAUGCCAUGGAUGAGAUGAGGGUGAAACAUGAGAGCCGUGCCAUGAAGUUCCAGCGUAGGUUCUGCUCUCUGUUUAACAACUUUUUCAGCAGCGGCUUGGUUGACAUAGAAGGUUGGAAAUUCCUGUACCCACUAGUGGCGCAGCACGAUCCAUGCAGCAGGGAGGACAGUGGGGUGUACAUUGCACACUACUACACUGACUUCAUGGGGCUCUACCUCCGCUCAACGCUUUGCAAGAAACAGAUUGAUGAUUUGCGGGGGAAACUUGCAUAUGAGGUUGUGGCCAUGAAGGGCAACAAGGGAGACAUACCGGAGUUCCUGUACGACGUCAUCAUAGACUGA
rnacentral:rRNA from 1 species